AAAAAUUAGUUAAAAUAUAACAUUAGUUUGUCAAACUAAAAUUAUUUAUAUAAAUAUUUUUUAAU
rnacentral:tRNA from 1 species